rnacentral:lncRNA from 1 species
AAAAAUUAUUGUAUACCUUAAAUAAUAUCCGUACAGAUGGUAGUAUAAUUAUAAUACAUAUAAUACAAGUAUAUAUAAAUAUGUAUGUAUGUAUGUGGGUAUACAAGUAUGCUGAGAAUUUUUAAGUUAAAGGAAAGUUUUUGCUGAUUCAAUUAGUGAGCAGGAGGUGGCAUUAUUGAAAGCCUUAGCAAGACAUUAAGUUAUCAAUCGAGCAUGAGCUGUUCAAGUAUCUUGCUAUUUCGUCUGCUAUCAAUCAAGCAUUAGCAAAGAAAGACUGAAAGAAGCUAACGGAAAGCUAUGUUCCCAUUCCUCUCUCUUUUUCAAUUCUCUAUGAUCAAGCGCCUUUUAAAAAAAAAAAAACUUGUUAAACCCCUUCUCUAUUCUGUCUAUAGCAGCAGUCGGCCAGCUAAUGUUGUAGUGUAUGAAGUUUCGAGCAUCAUUAGCAGGAAAGGCUACAUAAAUUGAUCUUUUUACACGGAAAAAUCACCUAAUUCAAGUGGGUUUAAGGUAAGCUUUUUUAUUCAUAGCUAUUGUAAUAAAAAAAAAGAUUAGUAACAAGUGUGAUAUAUUAUAAUUGUGCUAUGAUUGAGUUGUUGGUUGGGCUGUGAAUUGUAAGGAGAUCCUAUGCAGGUAGAAUGGAGUGAAAAGAGAGUAAAUUUUUGGUUAGAUUCAUAUUUAAACACAUGAAAUCUGACUUUUUAAAGCUUGUAUGCUAGAUGUUUGAUGAAAUGCCCAAACAAGGUUUCCAAGCUUAAAAACGAAUAAUUACCCAAGGCUUGGAACUAAAAGACAUUUGAAUAUGUAUUGUUAGGUUUACUAAGCUAAUCAGAGGAACCAAAUCAGUUUGAAAAGCGAUGGAAUGAAAUUUCCUUAAAAAGGGUAUGAACACUGAUUUUGAACUUUUAGUUUGGUGUCUUAAUAAUGUUGUUAAAGACCAAACUUGGAUGAAAAAUGUACCUUAUAACAAGGUCUCGAAGUAGGAACAAAUUUCAAGUCAUUUGAACUUGUAUAGCAAAAGUUACGCUAACUGUUAGGAGGCUUGAAGAAACAAAAUCAGAAAAAAAAAUUGUGAACUGCUGACCCUAAGGACAAAUUUGGGGCUAGCUAGAGUUUCCAAAAUAUUCUGGGCUUUUAGGGUAUUAUAGUACAUUGAAUAAGCUUUCCAUAAACUCCGAAACGGACUAAUUCCGACUUCGGAGCAAAGAGUUAUGACCGUUCAAAGUAGUCGCGUCAAAACUGUCUAACCAACUCAGGGCAGUCACUUUGCACGAAUUUUCUGGAAUUUUGUGUUUUGAAUUUGGAAAUGGUCAAAGAAUGAAAGUUGUAGCCCCGGAAGUUAGCUUCGCCUGGGCUCAAGAAUCUCUUAAAAAUGUUGAGAAACGAAGGAGUUAUGACCAUUUUAGGGAAGGAGGGACGUGCAGUCUAAAAACAGAACAUUCUGUCCACUUAGAGCAGAUUUCUGUUCUGUUCGGUUUGGAAUUUGGAUUUGUGAUCUGAAGAGAAGUUGUAGUCCCGGGAGUUAGUUUCGCGUGGGUUCAAGAAUCGUUCAAAAAUGUUUUGAAACGAAAAAGUUAUGGUAUUAGGGAUUGAUUUUGUAACAUUGCUGUAUUGAGGGCAAGAUGUCUUUUGUACAUGUAAUUUAAUGUAAACUAAACUGAUUAGAUGAAUUAAAGUGGGUUUAGAACAAAUUUAGGAGAAUUGGAUCAAGAUUGUGCUCGGUUGGAAACUGUUGUGACUGAGUAUUUUUAUGCCCAUGUAAAAGCAGGUUAUAAUGCUCUUUUUGAUUGAGUAAUAUUUUUACAAAAUAGUUUGUAGUACCAUGUUUAGCAUAUUAAAUUUUGUUACCAAUCGGAUGCUUAGAUAUAGAGUUAUUAAAUCGCGAAACGGGCUAGUAGUGAUGAUUGGCUGCAGUAGCAGAGUGCAGCAAGUUGCAGUAGAAGCACACAGCAAGCUGCAGUAACAGCUGCGAUGUGCUGCGUUAUUUCUCGGCGUUUCAAGUCUACUUUUGGCACGAGUCUUAAUGCGAGAAAAAUAGUAUGAAUUAAAAUUUAUAAAACUAAAAUAUUACAAGUUAAUUAACUUAUAAUAUUAUUAAUAAAUCUAAUAAAUUUAUUUAAAUGAAAAUAAGUAAUUUAAGCUUGAAAAUAUAAGUUUGAAUUGAGAUUCUUACGGUGCAUUUACAUUAAGAAAUAUAAUACGCUUUAUGCGGUGUAAUAUGAAUAUAUUCAAAUUACCUAUAUUGAAUAUAUUGUUUGGGUUUAAAUCAAAGUUAAAAGAAUAUGUUUCAUUGAGUUAUGUAAUAACCAUAUGUAUGUUACAUAGGUACUUUAUGGAAUCAUAUCGCUUCGAGUUCAUGUAACUGUUUAGAAUCGAUAGAUGUGCAUCACGAAGGCAAGUCUUUCAGUUCCUAUUUGUAUAUGAAUUUGACAUGAUUAUAUGGAUUACAUGUUAUACUUGUGGAAUGAUGAAAGUUAACUAUUGACUAAAUUUGAUUGAGUUUUUAAAACUCAGUCUUGAUUUUGAUAUUUGAUAUGCAUGAGAUACAAAUGUUACUUAAAUUGUAAUAAUCUUGAGAUAUGUUAUAAGAAUGAUAUAAUGUGUUAUGUGAAGUAUGAAAACUGUUAGACUUGCUGGGCCGUAGUGCUCAAUCUUGCAAACAAUUUUGCAGAUAAAUGUUGAUGUAUCAGACGGUCAUAACAACGAAGAUUUGUGAUGAGACAUGAGUAUCAAAAGAUGUAUUACUUCAUCAAGUUUAGAUUGUACCGAGCUGAGGCUACUUGCUAUAAAGUGAUUUAAUUGAGUAGUGUAAAUGUUGUUAUACCCAGUAAUUAUGCUGAAUAAAAAUAAUCUUUUUGAAUACGAGAUGUAUCUUUACUAUUAUUUUGUAAAGUAAGUUACUAUAAUAGCAUAGAAGUACAUGAAGUGGGGUAUAUCGAAUAUACAGUUGAUGAAUUAUGUCACGAAGAUUCAGGGGUGAGUAAAGUUAAAAGUUUGAACCUUACGUUCAAAUGAGACAUUUCGGAAUGGGUCUUUAUAUUUAUAUAAUCAUGAAUAUGGG